CCUGGGCCGGCCUUUACUCUGUAGUGUAACCUUACAAGGAGGCAGGCAGCGAGAAGGGCAUAAAGGCAGAGAGGGGCUGGCAAGUAAUGACGGAAGAAGCUGGAAGCACAGCCUACCUGUCAGAUCACUUGAAAUACACGGAUAAGCAAUCCUGUUCGGUAAUUUAGAAAUGUUAAGACAACCAAACAGAGAGCUGUUGCAAGUGCCUGCAUGAGUACCAUGCGGUGGAAGAAUGCCGGGCUAGACUUCCGGCGCCUGAACUCCACGUCACGCUGCGGACUCCAUACGUGGCCAUGGCCACCAAGACAUGGCCGCCUCGCUUCUCUCCUCUAAAAUAAAGCUUUUAACUACUUGGUACCUGCCUUUGACUGACUGAACAAACAUCCAGGGAAUGACUGUUGCGUGUCAGGAUGAUGGGCCAAGUGAAGAAUCCAGAAUCAUGGUGUUCCGUUUGGAUAGCCUGUGGGC